CAUGAAUUUAAAACUAGCGGCCGCACAAAAUUUUAUUGAAAAUAAUGUCAGGAUCUGAGAUCUGUAAGAGGACUCUUCUGUGCAGACCAGAAGAGAGUAGCUCUCCCCAGCCCCUCAUGCAGCGAGAAAAUGUAUGCAGCUGAAGUAAACGGCCCUGCACAGCGUUGCCAGCCGUAUAACUCUUAACAACCCAAACUAAUAAAUCCUAGAAACCUUU